rnacentral:rRNA from 1 species
AGAGUGAACGCUGGCGGUAGGCCUAACACAUGCAAGUCGAACGGCAGCACAGUGGUAGCAAUACCAUGGGUGGCGAGUGGCGGACGGGUGAGGAAUACAUCGGAAUCUACCUUUUCGUGGGGGAUAACGUAGGGAAACUUACGCUAAUACCGCAUACGCCCUUCGGGGGAAAGCCGGGGAUCGCAAGACCUGGCGCGGAUAGAUGAGCCGAUGUCGGAUUAGCUAGUUGGUGAGGUAAUGGCUCACCAAGGCGACGAUCCGUAGCUGGUCUGAGAGGAUGAUCAGCCACACUGGAACUGAGACACGGUCCAGACUCCUACGGGAGGCAGCAGUGGGGAAUAUUGGACAAUGGGCGCAAGCCUGAUCCAGCCAUACCGCGUGGGUGAAGAAGGCCUUGGUUGUAAAGCCCUUUUGUUGGAAAGAAAAGCAAUCGGUUAAUACCCGGUUGUUCUGACGGUACCCAAAGAAUAAGCACCGGCUAACUUCGUGCCAGCAGCCGCGGUAAUCU